rnacentral:rRNA from 1 species
AUGGGCUCCUGCCUCUCCACCCAGCCCGGCGACGAGCCGGCCUGGCCGCUGCGGUGGCGCAAGAGGCCCCAUGGCGAGCGGGAGGGCACGGCCGCCGCCGGCGCCUUCUUCUCCGGCGGCGGCGCGGGUGGAGGCGGCAAGAAGCUCCCCGGCGAGGGCGAGAUGACCGAGGAGGAGCUCGCGCGGGUCCCCGGAAGGACGUGCGCCAACGGGGCGAGCGCCGCGGCGUGCCUCCACACGCAGCAGGGGCGGAAGGGCACCAACCAGGACGCCAUGGUCGUCUGGGAGAGUUUCAAUUCAAAUGAUAGUGUCUUCUGUGGCGUGUUUGAUGGUCAUGGUCCAUAUGGUCAUUUUGUCGCCAAAAAAGUUAGAGAUUCUCUUCCUGUUAAGUUACUCGCACAAUGGAAAACUAGUGCUAAUGUGGGCACUAGUCCUCAUCUAAACGGAAGCAUUUCCGGAAGUUUGAACUCCGAAGAAACAGCAUCUGCUGUUGAUGAUGAAUGGGGUGAGUCUGCUGAUGUUGAAGGGAGUGAUAUGCUUCCUGAGACAUUCCUUCCACUUAAACAGUCUUAUUUGAAGGCUUUCAAAUUGAUGGACAAGGAGCUCAAGAUGCAUCCUACGAUUGAUUGCUUUUGCAGUGGUAGCACGGCAGUCACAUUGGUCAAACAGGGAUGGGAUCUUGUAGUUGGAAAUCUUGGGGACUCGAGAGCAGUAAUGGCGACACGGGAUGCAGCUAACAAUCUAACUGCUGUACAACUCACUGUUGAUUUGAAGCCUAACCUUCCCAAGGAAGCUGAGAGGAUCCAGCAAUGCAGAGGAAGGGUUUUUGCUCUUCAAGAUGAGCCAGAAGUUUCAAGGGUAUGGUUGCCGAAUAAUGAUUCUCCUGGACUGGCAAUGGCAAGAGCUUUUGGAGACUUCUGCCUUAAAGAUUAUGGCUUAAUAUCUGUUCCACAGAUAUCAUAUCGCCGUCUUACUGAAAAGGAUGAGUUUAUAAUACUAGCCACUGAUGGGGUUUGGGACGUUCUUUCAAACAAGGAGGCUAUUGAUAUUGUGGCUGCAGCUCCAUCUCGAGCAACUGCUUCCAGGGCUCUCGUUGAUUGUGCUGUCAGAUCUUGGAGAUUGAAGUUCCCAACAUCCAAGAGUGAUGACUGCGCUGCUGUCUGCCUGUUCUUGGACCACGAAAAGUCACCUACUCUGGUUGAAGAGAGUGAAGCCGAGAAUGAAAAGGCAGAACCUGCCAAGGAUGCUUUAAUCUCAGAUGCCGGUGAUAAAAUCAAUGAAGACAUUGCAGAUGUGAAUGAACACAUCUCCAGGGAAGAGCAUAUCCCUGAGCCCACAUUGGAACACUCAUCCACGCUAAGAAAUGUUGAUGAGAUUAUGCCGGUGGACGAACCUCCUGUAUCAAAGGAACCUGAAAGGUGCGGGUCUGCCCGCAGCCUGGCUGACUGCAUAUCGACAAACGAGGAGGAGGAAUGGUCUGCGCUCGAAGGCGUGACACGGGUAAAUUCCCUCUUGAACCUUCCAAGAAAACUCUCAGGUGACAAGAAAUCUACCAGCUGGAAGAAGCGACGCUGA